rnacentral:tRNA from 1 species
GUCAGGAUGGCCAAGUGGUCUAAGGCCCUGUGUUCAGGUUGCAGUCUCCCUUGGAGGUGUAGGUUUGAAUCCCACUACUAACA